GACGAACGCUGGCGGCGUGCUUAACACAUGCAAGUCGAACGGAAAGGCCCUGCUUUUGUGGGGUGCUCGAGUGGCGAACGGGUGAGUAACACGUGAGUAACCUGCCCUUGACUUUGGGAUAACUUCAGGAAACUGGGGCUAAUACCGGAUAGGAGCUCCUGCUGCAUGGUGGGGGUUGGAAAGUUUCGGCGGUUGGGGAUGGACUCGCGGCUUAUCAGCUUGUUGGUGGGGUAGUGGCUUACCAAGGCUUUGACGGGUAGCCGGCAUGAGAGGGUGACCGGCCACAUUGGGACUGAGAUACGGCGCAGACUCCUACGGGAGGCAGCAGUGGGGAAUAUUGCACAAUGGGCGGAAGCCUGAUGCAGCAACGCCGCGUGCGGGAUGACGGCCUUCGGGGUGUAAACCGCUUCCGCCUGUGACGAAGCGUGAGUGACGGUAAUGGGUAAAGAAGCACCGGCUAACUACGUG
rnacentral:rRNA from 1 species